rnacentral:rRNA from 1 species
AAGGUGUAUAUCGCCAUUGCUGCGGUUAAAAAGCUCGUAGUUGGAUCUGCGCCUACGGACCCGGUCCUCCCAAUGGGUGCGAACUGGGCUCCGAGGCCACACUGCCGGUUUUCCCGGGGUUGCCUUCACCGGCAGUCUCGGGUGGCUGGCGAGUUUACUUUGAAAAAAUUAGAGUGCUCAAAACAGGCUCUCGCCUGAAUAGUGGUGCAUGGAAUAAUGGAAUAGGAUCUCGGUUCUAUUUUGUUGGUUUUCGGAACCAAGAUAAUGGUUAAGAGGGACGGACGGGGGCAUUCGUACCGCUGCGUGAGAGGUGAAAUUCUUGGACCGCAGCGAGACGCCCUACUG